AAAAUUAAUUAUCCUGAGAGUGAAGACUUUGCCUUUCUAUAUGGAACAAUAUUAACAGAUGGAAAAGACUCUUAUAGUGAGGAGCCAACUACCAACAUCUGUGUGUUUGCAGAUGAACAGGUUGACAGAAGUCCUACUGGCUCAGGAGUGACAGCCCGAAUUGCCUUACAAUAUCACAAAGGGCUUCUAGAACUGAACCAGACCAGAGUCUUUAAAAGCAGCACAACUGGCUCAGUGUUCACAGGGAAUGCUGUGAGGAUUAUAAAUUGGACUUCCCCAGAGGCUACAUGGUGUGCGAUAUUCCAAACAGUUGAAUGCAGAAGCAGAUAUGAGAAUCUAGUUGUCUUCUGUUAAGCCACACAUGAAAAAGGUUUGCAAAAAUGGAAAACAAUGACACUUUUCUCAUAAAAAUUUUUUUUGGCAAAUGUAGUUACUUUC